CAAAAAGUCCACUUCACAAAGGCUUAAGUUUCAUCCAGAUCAACUAACUGAUUUUCACUCAAACAACACAGCCAUGGAGCAUUUCUCAGUAAUUGAACAGGCCCUGGGCAUUAUGCAACCAGCCCACGAGUGGGCCGUCAGAGGCAGAAGAGGACAGGAAAGGAGAGGAGAAGUGGACUGAGCAGGGUGCUGCUAGUAGGCAGGAUGGUGGGGGUUAGCAGUGCUUGGGAAUGUGUAGGAGGAUGGAUGAAGAGUGUGAGUGAAAAAAAGAGACAAGAACAAGUGAUACAGUAGGUUUUGGGUUAGCAGUCAGUACAUAUACCAGUGCUAUGAUGAAAUCUGUUGAAAUGUUGUUUCAGUUGUUGAAAGUGUUAUUGUGAGCAAAUUUGUGAGGAGAAAGAGGAGGUGAGGGAUGAACCAUGAAGUGCAGGUACACCCAAAUUCAGAUAGAUGUGCCUCUGUUUUGUUUUAGGAAUCUUGCUUAAAGGUGUUAAGGAUCAUUAAAUGUCUCCCUUCAUCUGAAAAACAUGAUCUAAAAAGGAGAACAGUUUGUAAACUGUUGAGAUGCUGCCAAAAGACUGCCCAGUGUGUGAACAUAUGUUGGCAUAAAAGAUAUAUUUUUAGUCAUGCCUGUGUGGAGCAGCCAAAAGCUCCCCACAUCCUGCCGUGCUCAGCGUGCAAAAGUGAUGUCCCACAAUGCAACGGGUGAAGAUCAUGGCAGCUCUCUUCUGUGCCUCUGCAUGCUGCUGUGUACAUUUAUAUGUGCAUGUCAUACAAUUUGCAAAAGGUGUGUAAUUUUAUUGGAAUUUUAAUAUUUCACCUUCAUUUGCUUUCAUAAAUCUAUUUCAAAUUAGGUACACAAAAUAGUUACACUCAGGACCUUAAGGAUGAAAAUGUCCCCAUUGAAACCCAUUCAAACUGCAGUAUUUAAUCCCUGUGAUGUUUAAGCAUAAAAUCAUACAGUCUGUAUUAAUAGGCAUUUAAUUUGUUGGCAAGGUUUCAAAACAUUUUUUUAACAGGUUUUAAGAAUAUUUCUGAACUGUGUAGUAUUUUCUCAGGUUUAGCCUAUAGGGAAAAUACUUAAUUUUCCUUUUUUUUCUGAUUCUGCUGUAUUAUAGAGUGCUGAAGACCAACUGAAUAAAUGAUGCAGCUAUAAUUGUGUGGGUGUUUGUAUGGAUAUCAGAGUUGUGGUUUAUGUGUGUGUACUGAAAAUUUUGUAUGUGUGAACAGUUUGAAAGAAAGAAAUUAUAUUGUACUGGAAAUUACAAAUCCCACCCCAUGUACUGUAUAUGAGUUAAAAUAGGAAUGACACAUUUCAGGACAGGAAAAUACUCUACUUCAGUGUGGAUUAUUUUCAUAUAAGAACACAGCUUGUUUUGUGUUUUAACUUACUUAAUGCAUACUGUGGUUGAGGGAGAAUUCAGUCAACCUCACAUUAAGCCCAUAAAUUCCCAACUUAUUAUUCAGUAGCUAAUUUUAAAUACUAUUCAGUAACUACAGAGAAUUAUUCAGUAACUAGUGACACUAAUAGGAAAGUUGUGUAAUUAAAAGAGUGGGAAAGUUAAGUCUGGACUGCUAACAGGUCUUGGGAUUUUAUGGGGUUAAUCAUGGGUCACACUACUGUUCUUAUGGGAAUUAUCUGAGAUUUCAUCAACACCCCAAAUCCAUCCAUGAAUAAAACAUUGUGACUCGCUUCCCACAUGCUCUCUCCUCUUGUUUUUGGAUGCUACACUGUGAAAUGGCUCUGUGGGGGAAGGAACAGGAACCAAAAGCUCUUGAUGCCUAAUUUAUGAACAGCAUCUACAUUCCAACUGAUUCGGUUUGAUUUGGUUGUAGUCAAUUUCCAGACACAGUGCCUUGGGAUCUCAUCUUGAGAUCCAAAAGAAAUGUGAGAGGUGCACAGAAGGGAAUGAAGUCCUUUGAAUUUGAUGAUUCCAUGUCCCAUGUCAGCCUUUUCUGUGGUCUGUCUUUGAUUACUGCAGCUUGAAGAUGAGUUUCAGAAUGAAGUGUUAUUUGUUAUGUUUGUGAUAUACUGUAAGAAAGGGAUGUUUUCUCUCUGUUGUUAAUACUAUGAGUUACAUAGUGUAAAAUUGUUAUAUUGUUGUAGUUUAAUUUAAUACGUACUGUACUAUUUGUAAUGAUUUUUAUAUUGUAAUUAUUGUUAUAUAAUGGUGAGUGUAAUUUUUAUGCUGUAGGG
ensembl:lncRNA